rnacentral:rRNA from 1 species
CCAAUAGCGUAUAUUAGUGUUGUUGCGGUUAAAAAGCUCGUAGUUGAAUUUCGGGAUUGGGAUAUAUCGGUCGUGCCUUUAGGGGCAUGAAUCAGUGUGUGGCCAAUUCUCACCUUCUGGUGAAUUGGGAUGCUCUCGGGUGUUUCAAUGAACUAGGACUUUUACUUUGAAAAAAUUAGAGUGUUUAAAGCGGGCAUUUUUGCUUGAAUACGUUAGCAUGGAAUAAUAAAAUAGGACGAUGGUUCUAUUUUGUUGGUUUUAGGACCACGUAAUGAUUAAUAGGGAUAGUUGGGGGCAUUAGUAUUCAAUUGUCAGAGGUGAAAUUCUUGGAUUUAUUGAGGACUAACUACUGCGAAAGCAUUUGCCAAGGACGUUUUCAUUAAUCAAGAACGAAAGUUAGGGGAUCAAAGACGAUUUAUGUACGUCGUAGUCCUAACCAUAAACUAUGCCGACUAGGAAUCAGACAAAGUUAAUUUUUUAACGACUUGUUUGGUACCUUACG